UAGACUUCCAUCUUCCAACUCGUC
rnacentral:siRNA from 1 species